rnacentral:rRNA from 1 species
UACAGAGGUCUCAAGCGUUGUUCGGAUUCAUUGGGCGUAAAGGGUGCGUAGGCGGCGCGGUAAGUCGGGUGUGAAAUCUCGGAGCUUAACUCCGAAACUGCAUUCGAUACUGCCGUGCUUGAGGACUGGAGAGGAGACUGGAAUUUACGGUGUAGCGGUGAAAUGCGUAGAGAUAGGGGAGAACACUCGUGGCGAAGGCGGCCAGCUAGACCAGUUCUGACACUGAGGCGCGACAGCGUGGGGAGCAAACAGG